AGACGCUUAACCGCUGUGCCACCCAGGCGCCCCAAGGGAUCUGCAUUUUAAAUAAUCCCUCAGCCUUCCUCCAGGCCCCACCUCUUUUGGCUCUGCUCUCAAGGAAUAUAACGGAGAAGAAAAAUCACUAAAGAGAAAGCCCCAAAUCCGCAAUGGUAUUAAUGCCACUCUCUCCUUUACAAAAGAAUUAGGCACGUACUACAAUUUUGUGAGGAAGAGACAGGAAGGAGAGGAGAGGACGAAGAAAAAUAUUCUAGAAUAAAAAUAUAUGCAAACUACUGUUUAAUAACAGAGCCCUCCAGAAGCCCAAAGAAAACGCUGGCUUCAGGGAAGCAACAGACCAUCUCCUUGAGGCUGGGUCGUGCGGAGAAACCUUUGUGGCAUCCAGGGAGGCUGCCAGGGGAGGGCUUUCUCCGGGUCUGCAGCACCGCACACACUUGUUUUCGGGAACACCUGCUAAAGGACGGCUCCUGAAGAGGAUGGGGCAGAUCUGUGAGGACCCCCUGGGACUUGGGAAGAACACUCAUGGAGCACCUAUGAUGAAAUGAAUUCUGCUAAAAACAAGGAUAAUAAACACUCAAACUGA